UACGGGGGGAGCAAGCGUUGUUCGGAUUUACUGGGCGUAAAGGGCGCGUAGGCGGCCACGACAAGUCAGUUGUGAAAUCUCUGGGCUUAACUCAGAACGGUCAACUGAUACUGUCGGGCUAGAGUGCAGAAGGGGCAACUGGAAUUCUCGGUGUAGCGGUGAAAUGCGUAGAUAUGCGGAGGAACACCGAUGGCGAAGGCAAUCCCCUGGGCCUGCACUGACGCUCAUGCACGAAAGCGUGGGGAGCAAACAGG
rnacentral:rRNA from 1 species